AGAGUUUGAUCCUGGCUCAGCGUGAACGCUGGCGGCGUGGCUAAGACAUGCAAGUCGCACGGAGGUAGCAAUACUUUAGUGGCGAACGGGUGAGUAAUGUAUCGCUAACGUACCCUUUAGUCCGGGAUAGCCAGGGGAAACUCUGGGUAAUACCGGGAAAUAUUCUCUUCUCGCAUGGGAGGAGACUCAAAGGAGCAAUCCGCUGAAGGAGCGGGCGAUAUCGUAUCAGCUAGUUGGUGAGGUAACGGCUCACCAAGGCGACGACGCGUAGCCGGACUGAGAGGUCGGUCGGCCACAUUGGGACUGAGACACUGCCCAGACUCCUACGGGGGGCUGCAGUAACGAAUCUUCCGCAAUGCACGCAAGUGUGACGGAGCGACGCCGCGUGUGGGACGAAGUCCUUCGGGAUGUAAACCACUGUCAGGGGUUACCAAGUUCUGAGGAGCCCCAGAGGAAGGCACGGCUAACUCUGUGCCAGCAGCCGCGGUAAGACAGAGGUGCCAAGCGUUAGGCGGAAUCACUGGGCUUAAAGCGUGUGUAGGCGGGUCGUUAAGUGUCUUGUGAAAUCCCCCGGCUCAACCGGGGAAUGGCUGGGCAUACUGGCGAUCUUGAGCAGUCUAGGGGCAGAUGGAACAGACGGUGGAGCGGUGAAAUGCGUAGAUAUCGUCUGGAACGCCAAAGGUGAAGACAGUCUGCUGGGGACUUGCUGACGCUGAGACACGAAAGCCAGGGGAGCGAACGGGAUUAGAUACCCCGGUAGUCCUGGCCCUAAACGAUGUCGACUAGAUCGUGGGACCUCUGACGGUUUCACGGUCGAAGCAAAAGUGCUAAGUCGACCGCCUGGGAAGUACGGUCGCAAGGCUAAAACUCAAAGGAAUUGACGG
rnacentral:rRNA from 1 species